rnacentral:rRNA from 1 species
GGAACACAGUCGGAAUUUGCCCAGCUCGUGGGGGAUAACGUUAGGAAACUUACUGCUAAUACCGCAUACUGACCGAUAAGGUGAAAGCGGGGGAUCUGUAAGGACCUCGCGCGGAUGGUUAACCGAUGUCGGAUUAAGCUAGUUGGCGGGGUAAGAGCCCACCAAGGCGACGAUCCGUAGCUGGGUCUGAGAAGGAUGAUCAGCCACACUGGGACUGAGACACGGGCCCAGACUCCUACGGGAGGCAGCAGUGGGGAAUCAUUGGACAAUGGGGGCAACCCUGAUCCAGCAAUGCCGCGUGUGUGAAGAAGGCCUUCGGGUUGUAAAGCACUUUUAUCCGGAACGAAACGCGCAGGGUGAAUAUCCUUGCGAACUGACGGUACCGGAGGAAUAAGCACCGGCUAACUUCGUGCCAGCAGCCGCGGUAAUCACGAAGGGUGCAAGCGUUACUCGGAAUUACUGGGCGUAAAGGGUGCGU